rnacentral:rRNA from 1 species
AACGAACGCUGGCGGCAUGCCUAACACAUGCAAGUCGAACGAGACCUUCGGGUCUAGUGGCGCACGGGUGCGUAACGCGUGGGAACCUGCCCUUAGGUUCGGAAUAACUCCCCGAAAGGGGUGCUAAUACCGGAUAAUGUCUUCGGACCAAAGAUUUAUCGCCUUUGGAUGGGUCCGCGUUGGAUUAGCUAGUUGGUAGGGUAAAAGCCUACCAAGGCGACGAUCCAUAGCUGGUCUGAGAGGAUGAUCAGCCACACUGGGACUGAGACACGGCCCAGACUCCUACGGGAAGCAGCAGUGGGGAAUAUUGGACGAUGGGCGAGAGCCUAAUCCAGCAAUGCCGCGUGAGUCAUGAAGGCCUUAGGGUUGUAAAGCUCUUUUACCCGGGAUGAUAAUGACAGUACCGGGAGAAUAAGCUCCGGCUAACUCCGUA